UACGGAGGGUGCGAGCGUUGUUCGGAAUCACUGGGCUUAAAGGGCGCGUAGGCGGCUCAUCAAGUCGGGGGUGAAAUACUUCAGCUUAACUGGAGAAGUGCCUUCGAUACUGGUGGGCUUGAGGGAGGUAGGGGUCUUUGGAACUUCUGGUGGAGCGGUGAAAUGCGUUGAUAUCAGAAGGAACGCCGGUGGCGAAAGCGAAGGACUGGACCUCUUCUGACGCUGAGGCGCGAAAGCUAGGGGAGCAAACGGG
rnacentral:rRNA from 1 species